GGAAUGACAUCUCACCCGACCCGCAGAGACUCCAUGAGCCUCCAGGGUAUCACAACUGAAGAGACAGUUCCACAUUGGGCAGGGUUGUGACAGCCUAUAUUCUGGUUGGACUCUCCCCCUCCAUUUUUUUCCUGUAUUGCAGGAUCACCAGCUGCACCAAUGACAAAGUUAAACCACAAGUAUUUUCCAUAGACUGGCAGAUAACUAUUUGGGGAGCAGUUGGGAUAUCUGCAACUCAAAAAUUUCAGAGUGUACAAGAUGUCAACUGAGAAGGCAUUUCUAGAGCCAGCUGUAGUAAGAGACCCUGAAACAUAAACCCUUGUAUCAGAGGCCUGGUCUGAGGCCUAAAGCCUGAACCAAAGUACUUCCAGGCAUUGCUUAGCAACGCUGGGCUGUGAGCCAGAGGCAGGCCCGAAUUGCAGAACUUGGCAAGAAAAGGGCUCCUAGAAAGCACGCACUAAUGAUAUAAGUAGUAAUAAGAGGAACCUGGACAUCCUAGAUACAAGGACACUUCACAGAAACAACAAGGAACAGCCAGGUGCAUCCCAAAGAUGGGGUCAAAAGGACAGCAUGAUGGACAGAUCUGUUUGUUUGAACCAACACAUCAAAGGGGGAGACAGCACCCUAAUGAGUCAAGGGGCUGUACCUCGAUACGUCAGUAGGGAUGAGUAAUCUGUCCUCCAACUAUAUAAAAAUAGGUCCCGGAGCGCAUAUCUUUGUCCAGCCUAGGGGGCAGUGGAGUGUCCCGCCACUGACUGAACUGUGUCCGUUACCAGGGGACACAUAUUUGUAGUAUGUCCUAUAGAGUCUAUAGGAAACUAUUACUGUGCUUCAUUUGACAAUAAACCUAGCCGGCUGCCUUUGUACCUUGCUAGAGUCUGUGGUCUUUGGGGGUUCUCUUGGGGUCUGCUGUGUCAGCUAUCUGUGCAGAGCUGGGGCAGCACAUAGAGGGAACCUGCCCGAGCCGUCUGUUCUCAUCAUUGAAUCAGAGCAGAGCACCUCACCGGUAGCUACUGCCAACACCAGCAGCUAUUCCCCUCUCUCUAUACCCUCAGCUCAUAU